UACCAGGAAUGUCACUAUGGCUAGGGAU
rnacentral:sRNA from 1 species